rnacentral:rRNA from 1 species
UACGAAGGGAGCUAGCGUUGUUCGGAAUCACUGGGCGUAAAGCGCACGUAGGCGGAUGUGUCAGUCAGGGGUGAAAUCCCGGAGCUCAACUUCGGAACUGCCUUUGAUACAGCACGUCUUGAGUCCGGAAGAGGUGGGUGGAAUUCCUAGUGUAGAGGUGAAAUUCGUAGAUAUUAGGAAGAACGCCGGUGGCGAAGGCGGCCCACUGGUCCGGUACUGACGCUGAGGUGCGAAAGCGUGGGGAGCAAACAGG